rnacentral:rRNA from 1 species
GUCCCAGUUCAGAUCGCAGUCUGCAACUCGACUGCGUGAAGUCGGAAUCGCUAGUAAUCGCGGAUCAGCAUGCCGCGGUGAAUACGUUCCCGGGCCUUGUACACACCGCCCGUCACACCAUGAGAGUCGGGAACACCCGAAGCCCGUAGCCUAACAGCAAUGAGGGCGCGGUCGAAGGUGGGUUCGAUAAUUGGGGUGAAGUCGUAACAAGGUAUC